rnacentral:rRNA from 1 species
GCCUCAUACAAAGCUUUAGGAGGUAAAGCACUGGCUGGUCUAGGGGGUGUCAAAGCCUACCGAAACCAAUCAAACUCUGAAUACCUAAAGCCAGCGUAUGGGAGUGAGACUGUGUGCGCCAAGGUUCAUAGUCGAGAGGGAAACAGCCCGGACCGUCGGCAAAGGUCCCAAAAUAACGCUCAGUGUGAAAUGAGGUGCGCUUGCACAGACAGCCAGGAGGUUGGCUCAGAAGCAGCCAUUCCUUAAAAGAGUGCGUAACAGCUCACUGGUCGAGCAGGCGUGCGCAGACAAUGUAACGGGGCUAAGCGUUAUACCGAAGCCGCGGGUCCGCAUCUUGUGAUGCGGGCGGUAGGGGAGCAUUGCGCUAACCGGAGAAGGCGUACCUGUGAGGGGCGCUGGAGGAAGCGGAAGAGAGAAUGCAGGCACAAGUAACGAAAAGACGGGUGAGAUUCCCGUCCGCCGAAAGCCUGAGGAUUCCCGGGUAAAGGCAAUCUGCCCGGGGUAAGUCGGCCCCUAAGGCGAGGACGAAAGUCGUAGUCGAUGGGAAAUCGGUUCAAAAUCCGAUACCCGGCUCAGUUUUGAAGGCAGGACGCAUGAGGUGAAAUCCGGCAGGAGAACGGUAGUUCCUGUCCAAGCAGUGAGGUGUUGAGAGGGCGGUUAAAAGAGCUCUUGAGCUGAGCUGUUACGGGGAGCGGAGCGCAGGCGAAGCGAAGCGGACGUAAUCAAGGUGCCGGGAAAUACUGUCUAAAGUUAGGCUGAGUCGGACCGUACCGGAAACGGACACACGCAGGCAGGAUGAGUAAUCUAAGGCGCACGAGCGACCCCGCGUUAAGGAACUCGGCAAAAAGCACACGUAACUUCGGAAGAAGUGUGGCUCACGCUGAUAAGGAUGUGAGCGGCAGAAAGCAGGCCCAGGCGACUGUUUAUCAAAAACACAGCCAUCUGCGAACCAGCAAUGGGACGUAUAGGUGGUGACACCUGCCCGGUGCCGGAAGGUUAAGAGGAGAGGUUAACAGCAAUGUGAAGCUUUGAAUUGAAGCCCCGGUAAACGGCGGCCGUAACUAUAACGGUCCUAAGGUAGCGAAAUUCCUUGUCGGGUAAGUUCCGACCCGCACGAAUGGUGUAACGUAUCUGGGCACUGUCUCAACGCGAGGCUCGGUGAAAUUUAUAUACCGGUAAAGAAGCCGGUUACCCAUAGUUAGACGGAAAGACCCCGUGAACCUUCACCGUAACUUACUAUUGGGACUUGGUUUAUCAUGUGUAGAAUAGGUGGGAGGCUAUGAAGCUUGACCGUUAGGUUGGGUGGAGCCGAAAAGUGAAAUACCACCCUUGAUAAAUCAGGUUUCUAACCUGUCCCGUGAAACCGGGAUAGGGACAGUGAUAGGCAGGCGGUUUGACUGGGGCGGUCGCCUCCUAAAGAGUAACGGAGGUGCGCGAAGGUCUCCUCACGCCGGUUGGAAAUCGGCGCAACGAGUGUAAAGGCACAAGGAGGCUUAACUGCGAGAGUGACAGCUCAAGCAGAUACGAAAGUAGGUCUUAGUGAUCUGGCGGUAGCGAGUGGAAGCGCCGUCACUUAACGGAUAAAAGGUACUCCGGGGAUAACAGGCUGAUUUUCCCCAAGAGUUCACAUCGACGGGAAAGUUUGGCACCUCGAUGUCGGCUCAUCGCAUCCUGGGGCUGGAGCAGGUCCCAAGGGUUUGGCUGUUCGCCAAUUAAAGCGGUACGUGAGCUGGGUUCAGAACGUCGCGAGACAGUUCGGUCCCUAUCUGCUAUGGGCGUUGGAUAUGUGAGAGGAGCUGCUUUUAGUACGAGAGGACCGAAGUGGACGAACCUCUGGUAUACCGGUUAUCCUGCCAAGGGUAAGUGCCGGGUAGCUAAGUUCGGAAGGGAUAACCGCUGAAGGCAUCUAAGUGGGAAGCCCGCCUCAAGACUACGUAUCCCUGAGGGUUUAACCCUCCUAAAGACUCCUUGCACACUACAAGGUUGAUAGGUUGGAGGUCUAAGCACAGUAAUGUGUUCAGCCGACCAAUACUAAUAAGUCGUGAGGCUUGACC